rnacentral:lncRNA from 10 species
ACUGCGGAGUAUGAGGCGGAGGCUGCGUGCGCGCUUUGCUGCUCUCUGCAGGAUUGUACGGAAGCCAGAACGAUCCUGCAAGACGCAUUUUACAGAUGAGAUGCAGUUACCCGUCAAAUGUCACAUAGUCACGUGGGAGGUGGGAGAGACCUAGAAUCUUCGGCCCUCGGUGGAUGGGAUGUUUGAGGCGACCGACAGGACUUUAUUAAAUGGCCCUGAGGAAACUGAUCUCAUCUUUCUCAAUGUAGAAAGAGGAUCACAGCAGCGCACCUGUGUACGCUGCAGCAUGCGGGGAACUUGCAAGGACGUUUUCUCUGGCAGACACCUGGCCAGAAGCCUCUGUGUGCCCAGACUGCCUGUGCAGUUAAGGGACAAUAGGCGGCAGGUCCACCUGCUCUGCAUCCCCAUUUUCCCCCCUCACUGGCUGCGUGAGCUUGAAUGACUGACAACCUUUCUGAGCUUGAGUUUACUGAAAAAUGGGCCAUCAGAAUUACGGGAGAUGAGCAAAACUGGAGUGCAAUAGGAAGUGUAAGUUUCUCCUGACCUGGUUAUUUUAAAGGAGCCCUGUGGGGAGUCCAAUAUAUACUUUCCCAAAUAUGAAUCACAGGAGUUCCACCACACAGACUAAGCAGGAGGCAAAGGAGGAUGGCAAGGAAGUGUGGCAAAUACUGCUGGAGAGAUUCAUGGUGCUAGAUGUGAUGAUGGAUGUUGAAUUUUGGACUUCUGCCAAUGUUCUUGCCUCCAUUCCUUCACGCAUGCUGUUGCCUCUAUGUUCCCUCCCCUCUGUUAGCUGCAGUAAUUCCUGGUCAGCCUUUAGGUCUCAGCUCAAAUAUCACCUCUUCCAGGAGACUUCUUGCCUUCCCAGACCUGCUUGGGUGACUUGCCUCUGUGCUCUGCAGUAGUCUGGCAUGGCAUGUGUUGUCCCUGUUUUUCUGGCCCUUUUUAUUUUUUGAGACGGAGCCUGGCUCUGUCGCCCAGGCUGGAAUGCAGUGGCACCAUCUCAGCUCACUUACCUCACUGCAAUCUCUGCCUCCCAGGUUCAGGUGAUUCUCCUGCCUCAGCCUCCCGAGUAGCUCGGAUUACAGGCGCCUGCCACCACGCCCGGCUGAUUGUUAUAUUUUUAGUAGAAACGGGGUUUCACCACGUUGGCCAGGCUGGUCUCAAACUCCUGACCUCAAGCGAUCCUCC